UCCGAAUUGGUGUAGUGGCUAACAUUUGACGCUCUCAAUAUGUCUUACAAUAAAACAUGAGAUAUAAAAAAAGUGCCGUCAAGCCCGGGGUUCGAUUCCCCGAUUCGGAG